GACGAACGCUGGCGGCGUGCUUAACACAUGCAAGUCGAACGGAAAGGCCUCUUUCGGGGGGUACUCGAGUGGCGAACGGGUGAGUAACACGUGAGUAACCUGCCCUUGACUUUGGGAUAACUUCAGGAAACUGGGGCUAAUACCGGAUAGGAGCUCCUGCUGCAUGGUGGGGGUUGGAAAGUUUCGGCGGUUGGGGAUGGACUCGCGGCUUAUCAGCUUGUUGGUGGGGUAGUGGCUUACCAAGGCUUUGACGGGUAGCCGGCCUGAGAGGGUGACCGGCCACAUUGGGACUGAGAGACGGCCCAGACUCCUACGGGAGGCAGCAGUGGGGAAUAUUGCACAAUGGGUGGAAGCCUGAUGCAGCAACGCCGUGUGCGGGAUGACGGCCUUAGGGUUGUAAACCGCUUUCGCUCAUGACGAAGCUUUGUGUGACGGUAGUGGGUAAAGAAGCACCGGCUAACUACGUG
rnacentral:rRNA from 1 species